rnacentral:rRNA from 1 species
UUACACAUGCAAGUCGAACGAUGAAGCCCAGCUUGCUGGGUGGAUUAGUGGCGAACGGGUGAGUAACACGUGAGUAACCUGCCCUUGACUCUGGGAUAAGCCUGGGAAACUAGGUCUAAUACCGGAUAUGAGCGUCCACCGCAUGGUGGGUGCUGGAAAGAUUUAUCGGUCAUGGAUGGACUCGCGGCCUAUCAGCUUGUUGGUGAGGUAAUGGCUCACCAAGGCGACGACGGGUAGCCGGCCUGAGAGGGUGACCGGCCACACUGGGACUGAGACACGGCCCAGACUCCUACGGGAGGCAGCAGUGGGGAAUAUUGCACAAUGGGCGAAAGCCUGAUGCAGCGACGCCGCGUGAGGGAUGACGGCCUUCGGGUUGUAAACCUCUUUCAGUAGGGAAGAAGCGAAAGUGACGGUACCUGCAGAAGAAGCACCGGCUAACUACGUGCCAGCAGCCGCGGUAAUACGUAGGGUGCGAGCGUUAUCCGGAAUUAUUGGGCGUAAAGAGCUCGUAGGCGGUUUGUCGCGUCUGUCGUGAAAGUCCGGGGCUUAACCCCGGAUCUGCGGUGGGUACGGGCAGACUAGAGUGCAGUAGGGGAGACUGGAAUUCCUGGUGUAGCGGUGGAAUGCGCAGAUAUCAGGAGGAACACCGAUGGCGAAGGCAGGUCUCUGGGCUGUAACUGACGCUGAGGAGCGAAAGCAUGGGGAGCGAACAGGAUUAGAUACCCUGGUAGUCCAUGCCGUAAACGUUGGGCACUAGGUGUGGGGACCAUUCCACGGUUUCCGCGCCGCAGCUAACGCAUUAAGUGCCCCGCCUGGGGAGUACGGCCGCAAGGCUAAAACUCAAAGGAAAUUGACGGGGGCCCGCACAAGCGGCGGAGCAUGCGGAUUAAUUUCGA